rnacentral:rRNA from 1 species
GUACCAGUUGUCGUGCCAACGGCAUAGCUGGGUAGCUAUGUAUGGACGGGAUAAGUGCUGAAAGCAUCUAAGCAUGAAGCCCCCCUCAAGAUGAGAUUUCCCAACUUCGGUUAUAAGAUCCCUCGAAGAUGACGAGGUUAAUAGGUUCGAGGUGGAAGCGUGGUGACACGUGGAGCUGACGAAUACUAAUCGAUCGAAGACUUAAUCAAUUUUUAAA